UACGACUAUAUCACGUUGAAACAAGGUUUCUCGUACGAUCACCGAAGUUAAGCAAGGUUAAGCCUUGUCAGUACCUAGAUGGGUGACAACUUGGGAAUAUCAGGAACUGUAAGC